AUUGUUUUUUAGAAGUGAUAGAGGAUAGAUUUUUUUUUCUCCUGCUUGAAAACCAUUUAUAACGUAUAAUUUAAUUUUUUUUUUUUUUACCAUUUACAAAUUAUAUAUACCAAUUAGCUGAAGACAGUUUGCCUGUUUUUCCUCUCAUGUCUGUAUUGUUUUUGCGACCUCACCUCUACCCCAGUGAUUUCCUGAAAACAUUUAUUUGUGAGAUGAUCAGAAAUGCCAUCACUUCUGUAAAAAAUUAUUAACUCAUGAUGCUCUGCUCUUUUCAAACAUUUUUUUGUUUUGUUUUGUGUUUACAGCACGAGAUUUAAUAGUGUAAGGUGUAUGUCUUUAAAAUGGUGUUGCUGGUAUUUCGAUUACAUUUAAUAAAAUGCUGUUAUAAGGUUUCCAACU